rnacentral:rRNA from 1 species
UAUGUGAUCGUCUCUCGCAUAUCAAUAAGCGGAGGAAAAGAAACUAACAAGGAUUCCCCUAGUAACGGCGAGUGAAGCGGGAAGAGCUCAAAUUUGAAAUCUUAAAGGGUUUCCCUUUACGAAUUGUAGUUUAAAGAAGUGUUUUCUGUUGAGGUUUUGGUAAAAGUUCUUUGGAAUAGGACAUCAUAGAGGGUGGGAAUCCCGUAUUUGACCUUUACUUUCAACUUUGUGAUACACUUUCAAAGAGUCGGAUUGUUUGGGAAUGCAGUCCAAAAUGGGUGGUAAAUUUCAUCUAAAGCUAAAUAUUGGCGAGAGACCGAUAGCGAACAAAGUACCGUGAGGGAAAGGAUGAAAAGAACUUUGAAAAGAGAGUUAAACAGUACGUGAAAUUGUCAAAAGGGAAGCGUUUGACACCAGUGUUGUUUUUCUGAGAAUCAAUUAAAGAACUGUUUAUGCUAAGCUUGUUUAGACUUUAUCAGCUAUCUGUUUAGUUUUAGGCUUUUCUUUAAUGCACUUUUCAGUUAACAAGUCAACAUCAAUUUCUUUUGCUGUAAAAAAGCUUGAGGAAGGUGGCUUGAGAUUCGUCUUAAGUGUUUAUAGCCUCUUGCCUAUGCAGUCGGAGAGAUUGAGGUCUGCAGCGUAGAUCCUUCGGGGCUAAAUGCAUUUGUGCUAAGUUAUAGCAUUUUAUAGACAACUUGUUGACUAUGAUUUGUCUUGUAGCUUACUCGCUUAUGUUAUUUUACCUACGCUUAGGAUGUUGAUCUACAGAGCGAGAGU